rnacentral:rRNA from 1 species
UACGGAGGGGGCUAGCGUUGUUCGGAAUUACUGGGCGUAAAGCGCACGUAGGCGGCUUUGUAAGUUAGAGGUGAAAGCCCGGGGCUCAACUCCGGAAUUGCCUUUAAGACUGCAUCGCUCGAAUCAUGGAGAGGUGAGUGGAAUUCCGAGUGUAGAGGUGAAAUUCGUAGAUAUUCGGAAGAACACCAGUGGCGAAGGCGACUCACUGGACAUGUAUUGACGCUGAGGUACGAAAGCGUGGGGAGCAAACAGG